GUUUUCGGCCAUACCAUCCUGAAUGGGCCCUAUCUAGUCUGAUCUCAGAAGCUAAGCAGGGUCUGGCCUGGUUAGUACUUGAAUAGGAAGGCUGCCCAUUUUUAAUA
rnacentral:rRNA from 1 species